rnacentral:rRNA from 1 species
UACGAAGGGGGUUAGCGUUGUUCGGAAUCACUGGGCGUAAAGGGCGCGUAGGCGGCUUUAUAAGUCGGGGGUGAAAGCCUGUGGCUCAACCACAGAAUUGCCUUCGAUACUGUAGAGCUUGAGACCGGAAGAGGUAAGUGGAACUGCGAGUGUAGAGGUGAAAUUCGUAGAUAUUCGCAAGAACACCAGUGGCGAAGGCGGCUUACUGGUCCGGUUCUGACGCUGAGGCGCGAAAGCGUGGGGAGCAAACGGG